rnacentral:rRNA from 1 species
GGAAAUCUCACCAGGCCCGGACAUAGUAAGGAUUGACAGAUUGACAGCUCUUUCUUGAUUCUAUGGGUGGUGGUGCAUGGCCGUUCUUAGUUGGUGGAGUGAUUUGUCUGGUUGAUUCCGUUAACGAACGAGAUCUCCGCCUACUAAAUAGUCACGCGAAUCCGUUUGGAUUGGCGGGCGACUUCUUAGAGGGACACUUGGCGUUUAGUCAAGGGAAGUUGGAGGCAAUAA